UGCCUACUUGUGAUAUCUCUCUCUGUCAAAUAAAUAAAAUCUUUAAAAAAAAUUACGUAAAAUUAAAUAGGAUGAGUGAUUCAGUUCCUCAGGUAGUUGGUAGUUACUGCAUUACAAGUACAGUUAUGAAAUGUUGCCAUCAUCGUGGAAAGUUCUACUGGACAGUGGAGUUUUCUGUCUUGUUUGACAGAUCCUGGUGGUGGCAGAUCCCUAGGGAUAGGAUGGGUUCUAGAGUUUUGUGUUCAUCUCAUUGUCCUUGUCUAGAACACAGGAAAUGAGGAGAUGGACUGAAAGAUUUAUCUGUUCUUCAGAGUUUUUGCAGAAGACCCACAGAGGAACGCCCUCUGUCCUCCUUACUAUACAGAAGGCAAGAUCCAGAGGUUAAGCACAGGUGUGUUGGAUCUGGGUAGCCUGGGUUUGAAUGUUCUAUUACUUACUACUCUGAGCUUCCACUUCCUUAUCCAUAAAAUAAGGGUAAUACUAAUGUCUCUCUCAUCGCAAUGUGGAGGUAUUGAUGUAGUACUGCUUAAAUCUCACUUAGCAGGUUCCUGGCACACUCUAAGUGCUCCCAUGUGUCAGCUCUUGGUAUUAAUUUCGUACUCCUUUGUUAUCUACCGUAGGAGCGCCAUCAUGUUUCAAGAAUCAGACCACAUAUCUUAAAAAACUAUGUUCUGACUUGCUGUCCCCAUCCUACUCCAUCCUCUGUCCAGCACUGUGCUCACUCCAGAGCCCAAGAACCCUUUAUUUUAGCUCUUACUUCAGAAGGCUAUGAAAAUCUUGAAGACUGGUUCUGUGCCUUGUCUUUGGAUCUGCAGAGCCAGUGUCUUGUCCACUGCUGGCUUUCAGUGCUUGUGAGCUCCUCAUGGGAGGUUACAGAUUGUCAGUAUGCAGCUUUAGCAGGGAUGAAAAUGCAUACCCAUAGGUCGCCAGGGCCUGGUUAUUUUGGGGCUAGGUGUAUGGUGAUUGUUAAUUUCUAGGUGAGUAUUUGAAAAGUGUAUCUUGCCAACUGAGCCCUCACUGGCAAGAGAUCUGGUGCUAUGAUCUGAAUGCUUCUGUCACCCCCUCCUCCGCCUAAUCCAUAUGUUGCAAUCCUAAUAGCCAAGGUGAUAGUAUUAAGAGGUGAGGCUUUGGGGAGGUGAUUAGGGAAUAGAGUAGAGCCCUUAUGAAUGGAAUUAGUGUACUUAUAAAAGACAACUCCAGAGACAUCCCUCACCCUUCUGCCAUGUGAAGAUCCAACGGAAAGGGGAUAUCCGUGAACCAGGAUGUGAGCUCUCACCAGACUGAAUCUGUCGGCACCAUGUGCCUGGAAUUCCCAGCCUCCAGAAUGGGAAAAAUAAACUGAAAAGGUGAACGCAGCUGUCUGAUCAUCACAACGGGCGGCUCUGCCUUGCAGCUGGAGAUGCAUAGGAAAUUGAAAUUUACAACAACAUGGGCACUGCCCCUCCUCCGAAACAGUUCCUGGAAUAUCCCAAACUGAAGGUCUCACAGGGCCACUGAGGGGCUGCUGAGGAGUACUAGAUGAGCCACUGAACUUCUCACCAUCCUGCUCCAGCUGAACGAAGGUCUGGGUAACAGUGGUGCUCAUCAUUGACUAUCUGAGCCAUAAAUGAGAAGGCAUAUGAACAACAUUCUGCACAAUUCUGACAGCGAGUCGGCACUCACUACUGGUGAUGAUGGCAACCCCAGAUACUGCAUCUGAAUCCUUCUCCUUCUUCGCAACUAUAAAUCACACCACCCAUUUGUUAUUUUAUCAUGUUCUAGUCUACCUUGCACUUACAUUUUCAUGUAUUAAUAUUACCUUAUAUUAUUAUUUACAGAAUACUCUCAAAUGUUAAUUUGUCUGAUCCUAAAGCAGUAAUAAGGUAGGUAAGGCAAGCCCUAUUAUUCUUCUGAGAUGAAGAAAAUAAAGAACUAAGACUUAGAGAAGGCAAGUGACUUCUUAAUUUUACAUAUUUAAAGUAGUCAGAGGGGCCACAAUGAGAGUUCAGACCAUCAACCACAGUGCUUGUCAUUUGUCUGUUUUAGAAACAGAAGAAUCUGUCCAUGGUUAAUUUUAAGAAGUCAAUUGCUAAAAAAAAGUUUGGAAAUCAUGAGAAUGAAUUCUAUCGAAAGUCUCCUGACCACUAGCACCCACAGCUUCUGCGGCCAAGGCUGGAGAGAGACCUGUGGGUUUUGCUGGAGUUGAAAGUUGCCUUAUCCAGUCCUGCAGUUCUGGCCUUAAAAUUAACAACAUCCCCACACUCCAGUAAUGGAGGAAACCAAGAAAUUACAUAAUAAUGUACCAGGGGAGAGGAGAUUGCUUUCUGAUCCUCCAGGCAUUUGUUUUAUGUACUGACACAAGAACAUUUGAUUAUUCCCUUAGCAGUCUUACGGAGAAUGGCUAUAAAUGCCAAUUUGCAUCAGGAAAUUACCUGGCCGUACUCUAACUGUGGAACAAGUUCCAUGAAAUUUUGGCAUGCCUUGCAUGUAUUUUGUAUCACGGAAAUGCACCACACCUUUGGUGGUCACUCUUUUGGGUCUUGGUCUCAGGAAGAAACUCAGGUCAAAAUUAAUGAGUUGCAGUCUGUCCUCAAAGUCACAGAUUACUCCCAAAACUGUGUGCUAAAAUUUCUUGGCAGACAUAAACAGCAGUAAAUAAUUUUUUUUAUAAGAGGAAAAAUAUCCUAGAAGAAAAAAUUCCUAAAACUUAGUGGAGGAGUGGCUAAGGGAAAGCAUGCAAUGGGUCUUCUUACAGUGAUAAGCAUGGGUUCCCUUCGUUUGUUAUGUCAGAAACGGAGUCAUGUUGAGACAGAUCUUUGCUUAUCAAUGCUUUCUAAAAUUUGAUUAUUCAACAAUUAUUUAUUGAGUACUUGCCCUGUGCCUUGUUCUGUGCUAGAUACUCUGCACAAAUUAUCUUGAGAUCUUUAGUCACCCUACGUAUGAUGCAGUUAUUUUGGGUGGCUCAGAUGUGUUCUUCCACGAGACAAUUGCUUUGAGAUAUCACAACAUUUUUCUUCGUUUAUUGAUUUACUUGUGAACUAUCCAAAUGCAAAAUGCAACUCAAAAUGCAAAAUAAUUUGGAAUCAGUAUAGUAUGGCAAAAAGAGGACACACAGGGCACAGUCUGCCUCCAGGUUGCUGACUGUCUUGCUGGUAGAUGUCAUCACUUACCAAUGCUGAGACUGUUGCCUAUUUCUACUGCUGAGAGUGUCUGCUCAUAUGCUUCUGUUCUGUCCUUCAAUGGUGAACUUACCUUAUGGUGUUCUUCAUUUAAAGAAUUUUUUUCACACUGUAUAUAGAUAUUCAACUAAAUGAAGCAUUUGGGACUCUAAACUCAUUCAUUUGAAAAUGUUUUUGCAUGAUCUGAGACUACUUCACCUUUGACUUGUUUAUCUAUCCAGGCAUUCAACAACAAAUCCUGGACACCUACCUCUGUGGUAUGUGGGGUAAAUAAGAGUGAUAAGACACUGAGAGAGGGAGUUCUUGACCUUAUAAACCUUGCAGUCUACGGGGAAGACCAAUAAAUCAAUAGGCAUUAGUCAAACAGUAUGCUAAGUACUUGGAUGGGCUAAGCAUGAGAUUCUUUGCAGGACUCGGAUGGGGUGCCUCAGGGAGGUCAUCCAAUAGUUUCCCCCAAACACCCUCCUUUGCAUAUAAUAUGUUCAGGGAAGCCUGUAUCAGACACACUUGGAAUGUUAAAAUACAGAUUCCAAGAUCCAAAUGAA